CGGAACGGGUGAGUAACGCGUGAGGAACCUGCCUCAAAGAGGGGGACAACAGUUGGAAACGACUGCUAAUACCGCAUAAGCCCACAGCUCGGCAUCGAGCAGAGGGAAAAGGAGUGAUCCGCUUUGAGAUGGCCUCGCGUCCGAUUAGCUAGUUGGUGAGGUAAUGGCCCACCAAGGCGACGAUCGGUAGCCGGACUGAGAGGUUGAACGGCCACAUUGGGACUGAGACACGGCCCAGACUCCUACGGGAGGCAGCAUG
rnacentral:rRNA from 1 species